CGGGUGAGUAACACGUGGAUAACCUACCUAUAAGACUGGGAUAACUUCGGGAAACCGGAGCUAAUACCGGAUAAUAUAUUGAACCGCAUGGUUCAAUAGUGAAAGACGGUUUUGCUGUCACUUGUAGAUGGAUCCGCGCUGCAUUAGCUAGUUGGUAAGGUAACGGCUUACCAAGGCAACGAUGCGUAGCCGACCUGAGAGGGUGAUCGGCCACACUGGAACUGAGACACGGUCCAGACUCCUACGGGAGGCAGCAGGC
rnacentral:rRNA from 1 species